UUCUAGGUGACUGAGUUAAAGUGCUAGACUUUUAAUCUAGAGACAGCAUAUAAUAAAUGUGCUCCUAGAAG
rnacentral:tRNA from 1 species